GACGAACGCUGGCGGCGUGCUUAACACAUGCAAGUCGAACGGAAAGGCCCUGCUUUUGUGGGGUGCUCGAUUGGCGAACGGGUGAGUAACACGUGAGUAACCUGCCCCUGACUUUGGGAUAACUUCAGGAAACUGGGGCUAAUACCGGAUAGGAGCUCCUGCUGCAUGGGGGGGGUUGGAAAGUUUCGGCGGUGGGGGAUGGACUCGCGGCUUAUCCGCUUGUUGGUGGGGUAGUUGCUUACCAAGCCUGUGACGGGUAGCCGGCCUGAGAGGGGGACCGGCCACAUGGGGACUGAGGGACGGACCAGACGCCUACGGGAGGCAGCAGUGGGGAAUAUUGCAGAAUGGGCGGAAGCCUGAUGCAGCAACGCCGCGUGCGGGAUGACGGCCUUCGGGUUGUAAACCGAUUUCGCAUGUGACGAAGAGGGAGUGACGGUAAUGGGUAAAGAAGCAACGGCUAACUACGUG
rnacentral:rRNA from 1 species